rnacentral:lncRNA from 1 species
CCCAACAUCACCGUCACCGUGCCCUUCGGUUACCCGUUCCGGUGAGUUUUUACCCCAAAUCCCCACUCGGGGGAUUUGGGGCAUUUUGGGCUGGAUUCGGGGGAUUUUGGUGGCUGUGGGAGGUGGGAAAGGAUGAAAAGGUGCCCUAAAAUAUGGGAGACCACCAGGAGUUGGUUGGGGAGGUUUGGGGGCUCUUGAGGUCCAAAAAAUUCCAAAAAAAUCUUAAAUUUGGGUGUGGAAGAGGAGAGGAGGAGUAGUUGGGUUGGAGAUCUGUAGGGUUGGCCAACCAGUCCUUGUAGGACGUGGUUGAUGGGAAAUGGGGGUCUGGAGGGGGUUUGGGGGUCCAAAAAAUUCUGAAAAAUUCCAAAAAAAUCUUAAAUUUUGGCGUUGAAGAGGAGAGGAGGAGGAGUUGGGUUUAAGACCCGUAGGGUUGGCCAACUACUACUUGUAGGACACAGUUGAGGGAAAAUAACCCCUGUGAGGGAUUUUUGGGGUGGUUACGGGAUGGGAAGAGGUGCGAACCCCCCCCUCACCCCCCAAAAUUCCCCAAAUUCCCCCCGCAGGUUGAACCAGGCGGUCU